GACGAGGGGUCCAAGCGUUGUUCGGAAUCAUUGGGCGUAAAGCGGGUGUAGGUGGCUCUAUAAGUCAGAAGUGAAAGCCCCGAGCUUAACUCGGGAAGUGCUUUUGAUACUGCAGAGCUUGAAUGUGGGAGAGGAUCGUGGAAUUCCAGGUGUAGUGGUGAAAUACGUAGAUAUCUGGAGGAACACCGGUGGCGAAGGCGACUUACUGGACGACUGUUGACGCUGAGGUGCGAAAGCGUGGGGAGCAAACAGG
rnacentral:rRNA from 1 species